GGAGAGGUGCCAGAGCGGCUGAAUGGGCCGGUCUCGAAAACCGGUGUGGCGUUCGCGUCACCGAGGGUUCGAAUCCCUCCCUCUCCG
rnacentral:tRNA from 1 species